AUCAGGCCGCACCGCCGCCGCGCGGAGUCCGGGCCGCCGCAGCCCGCGGCCCGCGUCCUCCCGGGCCCGCGACGCGGGGAGCGCGGAGCGCGCAACUUACUUUCCGCCUGCGGCGGGCGCUCGGGCCCCGGCGCCCAGCCCGGCAACCGCUGAGGCCACUCGGCGGCGGAGGCUAGCCCGUCCCCCUCCCACGGCCGCCGCUCCCGGCUGCACUGCGCGCUCGCCCCUACCUCAGCAAGCAGGCGGGCUUCCGUCCGCAGCGGCCGCGGCGCCGACAACUCCCUCCCGGCCGCCGAAUCCCCGCACCCAGCACUAAUCAUAAUACCAAGCGGGCAGCCGGCCGCGGGGAGGGGGUGGGGGACCGAGAUGCGCCUGCGCGGGACGCGCGUCAUUGUGACGCGGUCGCCGGGGCGGGGCCGCGGCGAGGGCGGGGCGGGGCGCACCUGCGGGCUCCGGCGCGCGAGCUGCUGCAGGGCAUCCUGGCAGCGCCCCGACCCCGGCGAGUCUGGGCUGCGGCUGGCGACUGUCUCCUGGGCAUCUAUUUUGCAUGUCCGAAGAUGACUGGAAAGCAAGAGUGGAUUGUUGGGAGGUACAAACACUCAGAGUAAUAAGGGAAGGUUAAAGUUAAGGGGGGCUUCCCAGGUGGCAGGAGUGCUAAAGAACCCGCCUGCCAAUGCAGGAGACGCAGUACAGGAAGAGACGCAGGUUCGAUCCCUGGGUCAGGAAGGGAGAAGGGAAUGGCAACCCACUCCAGUACCCUUGCCUGGAGAAUCCCAUGGACAGAGGAGCCUGGAGGGCUACAGUCCAUGGGGUUGCACAGGGUGGAACAGACUCUGCUCUGUGAUGACAUGAAUGUGAAGGAAAUCCAAAAAGAGGGAAUAUAUGUAUAAAUAUAGCUGAUUCACUUUGCUGUCUAGCAGAAACACAACAGUGUAAGGCAACUAUACUCCAAUUUAAAAAAAAAAAACAAAAAUAAAAUAAUUAGAACAGUCUUGCUAUGUAAAAGGUAUCUAAUAAAGGCUUAUUAUUAUUUUAAAAAAGGGGGGGGGGUGGUUAAAAGAGGACUCCAAGUUACCCUAACACUCUGGCAUGGGGUGAUGUCACUGGCUGGGAAAAGCCUUGGGCUAUGGGCCUCUGCCCCUCGGGGCUGAGUCGAGGCCCCAUCCCUGGGAUAACACUGGCUUACAAAGACCUUCAAAGAAUCAUCUCGCUUUGACACACAUUCUAACUCUAGCAGUAUGUCCAGCAGGAGCUUGUGGAAUUCAUUCCUUUGUUGCUGAAAAACAGUGGUGAGGCCUUGCACUUUUCUCCUUAGGAGGGUAUCACUAUUCAGGGAACCCCAUAGCCAAGUAAAGGGGAAAAGAUACCAUUCUAAUGGUCUCCCAAGGGAAUGCCAGUGGUUGAAGACCUCCACCACCAGGUCUGUAGCCCCUGAGAUAAAGCAAUCAUCACAAAACAAUGUCUUAAUAGAUAACCCUUGGAAAAUACGUAACUCAGGUUUUGAAUAAAUUCUAUAAGGAAAACGGGACACAAGAAUAGAAAAACAAUAAAAACAAACAAAAAAAGAACAGAAUAAUACCUUGGUUUAAAUAAAGUGGGCUUGAAUUCUCUUCCAGAGAAAAGGCUGCAGUCCUGGCCACAUGGUGAAUCAUUUAUUCAUCUCCGGUGUUUCUUGGGAAGCUGGAGUGCUGCUGGCAAGAACAUGACCCAUUUUCAGUUCCACACCAUCAAUGUUGUAACAUGAUCUGAUUAUGCUUAGGCAAUAUUUUUAAAUAUUCAAGUAUAAAUAUAUGAUUACUUAACUUUGAAUUUAAGCAAAUGUGUUCAUUGUUAAUGAGAACCCCCUUCUUCAGUCUGCCCUGGGGUUUUCCCCAACCCAGACUGCUUUUUUAAUGUUAGGUCUUUUUAUGGACCUGUAAGAAGCUUUAAUUAGAUAUACAGCACUCCACACAAAUGACAAGAUGGAGCAUGCGGGCUUGGAUUACAUUCUCUGUGAUUCAGAUCUCUGAAAUAACAUAAUGCCACUGAUUUAGGGAAGUUGCUGUUUAUUGGAAGGCAACCAGGGAGAUGCUACAAAUUAGGUUAAGAUGUGAAAAGCAAGCCGAUUCAUGAAAGAACUGCCAUUUUCUUCUUGGGACUAUCCCCCUUAAAGCAGCAUGUAUAACAAGGUUAUAUCGUCUCUAGAUAUUGUUAAUUUUCAUAAUAUAAAAACAUUUCAAAUAUAUUGAAAACAACAGAGACUGAGGAUUCAUGUAUGGUUCAAUUUUGAGUUGUGACAUUUAAUUUUAUGAUUUCCUUUUGCAUAUUUAAUUAGUCAUUUUGUACAUUGAUACUUGUGCAUGUCUGAAUCCUGGCUUCAUUCCAGUAGGACCAAAAUAAUACUUCAAUGGAAUGGCCUGAAGAGUUUCUCAAAGAGUUUCCCUCACUACCCACUUGGCAUCCGUUAGCAUCCCUAAUUCUUUUAGCUCAGAUGUUUGUUAAGGCCUGUGCAUAUGUGUACAUGCGUGUGUGUGUAUGUGCAUGUGUAAUAUAUUCUUGACAGGUGUAAGGAAGGACUGAAAAUGCCAGCCCUUAACUCUGCUUCUUUGCAACCUGUGAACUGGGAAACGGCAGACACUGCCUGGUAUUGACCACCUGCCCCACCACCAAGAGUUAUAUGCCCUUGUGGGCAGACUGCUUAACUUUCCAUCUGUUUCCUCUGUAAAAUGGGAAAGAUGGUGAUGAUAAUGAUACCUUUCUUAUAAGGUGUGUGUAAGCCAGCUGUUCUCCAAGUGUGCCUCCUGGACCAGCAGCAGCAGGUUCUCCUGGGAACUAGACUGAAAUGCAAAUUCUCCAGCUCUACUCCAGACCUCCUAAAUUUAAAACUCGGUGGUUCCUCUGCUUUAAGAAGACUUCCAAGUGAAUCUGACAUAGGUGAGAGUCUGAGAACCACUAUAGAUGGGAUUAACGGGGUUUAUGCAUGUUAGUUGCCCAGUCAUGUCCAACUCUUUGAGAUACCAUAGAUUGUAGCCCACCAGGCUCCUCUCUCCACGGAAUUCUCCAGGCAAGAACACUGGAGGAUCUUCCCAACCCAGGGAUCAAACCCAGGUCUCCUGCAUUGCAGGCAGAUUCUUUUCCUGUCUGAGCCACCAGGGAAGUAUUAAAAUAGUGCUGGCACAUGGUAAGUAGUAUAUUAGUGGAUUUUUUUUUAAUCAGUGCAAUAUGAUGUUGCCAAGAUACAGUUUAAUU
ensembl:lncRNA